UACGAAGGGUGCAAGUGUUGUCCGGAUUUAUUGGGUUUAAAGGGUGCGUCGGUGGCUUUUUAAGUCAUGGGUGAAAGCCCGCAGCUCAACUGUGGAAUUGCCUGUGAUACUGAGGAGCUUGAGUGCGGUUGAGGCAGCUGGAAUUGGUGGUGUAGCGGUGAAAUGCAUAGAUACCACCAGGAACACCGAUUGCGAAGGCAGGUUGCUAAGCCGUAACUGACACUGAGGCACGAAAGCGUGGGGAGCAAACAGG
rnacentral:rRNA from 1 species